rnacentral:other from 1 species
ACUCACCUGCCGUGCCCGUAGCUGGCCAAUUGUUUUGAACCGUAUGUGUUUAAACGGGAGAUGGAUAUACGUUGCGUGCUGAUAUGCCCACUUGCUUGGGACAUCAAAGAUUCGUACCGUGAAUCUCCCACCUGCGAGAGCAGGUUCGAAAACACAGGUCAAUUACGACACACGCGGGUGAUGA